UACGGAGGGUGCUAGCGUUGUUCGGAAUCACUGGGCGUAAAGGGCGCGUAGGCGGCCAGGCAAGUCGGCUUUGUGAAAGCCCGGGGCUCAACCCCGGAGGUGCGGCCGGGACUGCUUGGCUGGAGGCCGGAAGAGGAGGGUGGAAUACCCAGUGUAGAGGUGAAAUUCGUAGAUAUUGGGUGGAACACCGGUGGCGAAAGCGGCUCUCUGGUCCGGACCUGACGCUGAGGCGCGAAAGCGUGGGGAGCAAACAGG
rnacentral:rRNA from 1 species